rnacentral:lncRNA from 1 species
CUCUGAUAAGAUCAGUAAGACCAAUUACAAGCUCAAGACUUGUGCCCUAAGGUUCAUGAUCUCACGCUCUACAACUCCAAUCCCCUUUGAUCUCCCCUAACUUCUUUAUGGCCCUUUGAUAUUUCUCAGGUUCUUCAUGCCCCUUCUAUAUGUUGCCUAACUCCAUGUCUGUUCGGCCACCCCUUCAUCAGUCAUGCCACUACUAUAGCCUCUCACCCC